GCCAACGUAGCUCAGUUGGUAGAGCAGCUCACUCGUAAUGAGCAGGUCAGCGGUUCGAAUCCGCUCGUUGGCUCCA
rnacentral:tRNA from 1 species